UCCUGGCUCAGGAUGAACGCUAGCUACAGGCUUAACACAUGCAAGUCGAGGGGCAGCGAGAAGAAAGCUUGCUUCUUGCCGGCGACCGGCGCACGGGUGAGUAACGCGUAUCCAACCUUCCCCUUAGUAGGGCAUAGCCCGGCGAAAGUCGGAUUAAUACCCUAUGUUAUUCGUAGAGGACAUCUGAAAUGAAUCAAAGAUUUAUCGCUAAGGGAUGGGGAUGCGUCUGAUUAGGUAGUAGGCGGGGUAACGGCCCACCUAGCCUACGAUCAGUAGGGGUUCUGAGAGGAAGGUCCCCCACAUUGGAACUGAGACACGGUCCAAACUCCUACGGGAGGCAGCAGUGAGGAAUAUUGGUCAAUGGACGAGAGUCUGAACCAGCCAAGUAAGCGUGCAGGAUGACGGCCCUAUGGGUUGUAAACUGCUUUUAUACGGGGAUAAAGUGAGGGACGUGUCCCUUUUUGUAGGUACCGUAUGAAUAAGGACCGGCUAAUUCCGUGCCAGCAGCGGC
rnacentral:rRNA from 1 species